rnacentral:rRNA from 1 species
UGGGGAAUCUUCCGCAAUGGACGAAAGUCUGACGGAGCAACGCCGCGUGAGUGAAGACGGCCUUCGGGUUGUAAAGCUCUGUGAUCCGGGACGAAAGAGCCUGAGGUGAAUAGCCUAAGGAAGUGACGGUACCGGAAAAGCAAGCCCCGGCUAACUACGUGCCAGCAGCCGCGGUAAUCCGUAGGGGGCUAGCGUUGUCCGGAAUCACUGGGCGUAAAGGGUUCGCAGGCGGAAAUGCAAGUCAGGUGUAAAAGGCAGUAGCUUAACUACUGUAAGCAUUUGAAACUGCGUAUCUUGAGAAGAGUAGAGGUAAGUGGAAUUUUUAGUGUAGCGGUGAAAUGCGUAGAUAUUAAAAAGAAUACCGGUGGCGAAGGCGACUUACUGGGCUCAUUCUGACGCUGAGGAACGAAAGCGUGGGUAGCAAACAGG